GUGGACUGAGUUGAGCUGACCCGGGUCCGAGUGGCAGCCGCGCUUCCCAGUUCCUGGAACCCGAAGCGGGCAUGUGGGACUUUGGGAUCCUGUGGCUGUCGGCUGCUCGCCAGGAGUAUGGCAGAAUUUCAUUUUGACGGUUCUAGGCCGAAAAGUAUGUGCAGGAGAUCCUCUUGAGACUGUGGAAGAGACCGUGGUGCGGCCUCUGUUGCGUUCUCACUUCAGUCUGUACACAUACAGUAUUACUCUGCAGGAGAGGGUAGGCGUGCAGAGAUGCCAAUGAGAAGUUCCGUCGUUUCUCGGAAUGUGUGCACUGGGAUUUCGGUCACCGCCUCUGUCAUUUCACCAGAUAGCCACACUGCACACAAUGUAGUGAAGUGGCUGUUAAGGGGGAAGUUGAUAUUUGAAACUUAGAGUGAAGAUUCAGACUUAAAUACCACAGCCGUGUGUUCAGUAUGGAGCUCUUGGAAUUUCCCCCAAAGCAAAGUGCAGGAGAAGAUGGAGUAUUGAGGUUCCAAGAAUAGGAUUCCAAUGACCGUUUUAGAAGUCCUGUAUUUAUUAAUGAUUUUCCAAUGAUUUCAUCCAAUAUGAUGUAUUAAUUGGCCAUUCAACGGAAAAAGGCAAUGAUAAAGCUACAUUGAUUCUCUACUUUGGACCAAACAAUAUUUAAUCUGAAAGGGAUAUUUAAUCUCAAUUGUAUGGUUUAUUUUGGAAGGCAAAUCUUACUAUCAAAAAUGUGUCAUUAUAUUGAUGAAAUAAGAUUUUUUAAAUGCACAAGACGUUGUAGCCAAAUUUCAUUUGUUUUUAGUACUGUACUGUCAUUUUCCAACUUACCUCUUCAAACUAUUCAUAAUAGAUUUCUUUCCCAUUUCUUUAGAAAAAUGCUUUAAAUGUAUAUAGGUUUUACUGUGUUUUUUUGGGGGGGAGAUGUAAUUAAUAGUCUCACUGAGAAAAGUAUUCCAUAACAUAAGUUGACCUACGUAUUUAUACUUUUAGCAUUGUCACUAUGAUGAGGCCCUAAGUGCUUGCUGCACAAGUGUGAGGGCCUGAGGUCCAGCCUAACGCCCACAUAAAAACCUGGCAUGGGAUGGCACGUGCUUGUGAUGCCAGUGCUGGAGAAGCAGACAGGUAUCAUGGCACUUCCCUUUAAUCCCUACACUCCACAGGCAGAGGGUGUCCACCAGCAGGCCUUCACAGACACACACACACACACACACACACACACACACACACACACACACACACACACACACACGCACGCACAGAGAGAGACAGAGAGGAAGGAGGAGGAGACAGACAGACAGACUUUUGUUUUGUUUUGAUACAGGGCUCAUGGUGUAGCUCUGGAUGGCCAGGAACAUUUGUAGUCUAUGCUGGCCUUGAACUCAGAGAGAUAUGCCUGCCCCUGCAUCCCAAGCAGUAGGAUUAAAGGCAUACACCACUAUGCCUGGCACAUUUUUAAGAGAAAAAAAUUUUUGGAAAUGGAGUCUUACUGCGUAGUCCUGGCUGGUGGAGCUCUGCCUGCCUCUGCCUGUGGAGUGUAGGGAUUAAAGGGAAGUGCCAUGAUACCUAGCAGGAAUAUGUAUUAUCAAUGAUUUGGUAUACAUUGUCAUUUUCUGUUUCUCCCACCUCUAAAAUUCAUGUGAAUUAUUUAAAUGAUACCUCUCUAAUUCUUAGUUGUGAAAGGAAUUCAACCAACUAACUAGUUUUAUUUUACUUCAGUGCAUGUAGGAAGAAAAAGUAAAUACGCUGAUACUCAAAUGAACCUUUUUAGUAUUUACAUCUUUGGGAAUUAUAAAUCAAUGUAUUCAUAAUUACUAGGAGAACAGGAAGACGGUUAUGUGAAGCAGUACUUAGAAAUAUGUUUUUUUUAUUUUUUUGCAUGAAUUACGUUCAAGAUAUUAAUUACAUUCAUGAUAUCCAUUAAUUACACUCAUGAUAUUAAU